GAUGAACGCUGGCGGCGUGCCUAAUACAUGCAAGUCGAGCGAACAGACGAGGAGCUUGCUCCUUUGACGUUAGCGGCGGACGGGUGAGUAACACGUAGGUAACCUACCUAUAAGACUGGGAUAACUUCGGGAAACCGGAGCUAAUACCGGAUAAUAUUUCGAACCGCAUGGUUCGAUAGUGAAAGAUGGCUCUGCUAUCACUUAUAGAUGGACCUGCGCCGUAUUAGCUAGUUGGUAAGGUAACGGCUUACCAAGGCAACGAUACGUAGCCGACCUGAGAGCGUGAUCGGCCACACUGGAACUGAGACACGGCCCAGACUCCUACGGGAGGCAGCAGUAGGGAAUCUUCCGCAAUGGGCGAAAGCCUGACGGAGCAACGCCGCGUGAGUGAUGAAGGUCUUCGGAUCGUAAAACUCUGUUAUUAGGGAAGAACAAACGUGUAAGUAACUGUGCACGUCUUGACGGUACCUAAUCAGAAAGCCACGGCUAACUACGUG
rnacentral:rRNA from 1 species